rnacentral:rRNA from 1 species
CCUACGGGAGGCAGCAGUGAGGAAUAUUGGUCAAUGGACGAGAGUCUGAACCAGCCAAGUAGCGUGAAGGAUGACUGCCCUAUGGGUUGUAAACUUCUUUUAUAAAGGAAUAAAACGAGGCACGCGUGCCUUUUUGCAUGUACUUUAUGAAUAAGCAUCGGCUAACUCCGUGCCAGCAGCCGCGGUAAUACGGAGGAUCCGAGCGUUAUCCGGAUUUAUUGGGUUUAAAGGGAGCGUAGAUGGGUUGUUAAGUCAGUUGUGAAAUUUUGCGGCUCAACCGUAAAAUUGCAAUUGAUACUGGCAGUCUUGAGUACAGGUGAGGUAGGCGGAAUUCGUGGUGUAGCGGUGAAAUGCUUAGAUAUCACGAAGAACCCCGAGUGCGAAGGCAGCUUACUAAACUGUGACUGACAUUGAUGCUCGAAAGUGUGGGUAUCAAACAGGAUUAGAUACCCUGGUAGUC